GACGAACGCUGGCGGCGUGCUUAACACAUGCCAGUCGAACGGAAAGGCCCUGCUUUUGUGGGGUGCUCGAGUGGCGAACGGGUGAGUAACACGUGAGUAACCUGCCCUCGACUUUGGGAUAACUUCAGGAAACUGGGGCUAAUACCGGAUAGGAGCUCCUGCUGCAUGGUGGGGGGGGGAAAGUUUCGGCGGGUGGGGAUGGACUCGCGGCUUAUCAGCUUGUUGGUGGGGUAGUGGCUUACCAAGGCGUUGACGGGUAGCCGGCCUGAGAGGGUGACCGGCCACAUUGGGACUGAGAUACGGCCCAGACUCCUACGGGAGGCAGCAGUGGGGAAUAUUGCACAAUGGGCGGAAGCCUGAUGCAGCAACGCCGCGUGCGGGAUGACGGCCUUCGGGUUGUAAACCGCUUUCGCCUGUGACGAAGCGUGAGUGACGGUAAUGGGUGAAGAAGCACCGGCUAACUACGUG
rnacentral:rRNA from 1 species